UAAGGGGGAUUAGCUCCUUA
rnacentral:rRNA from 1 species